UACGAAGGGGGCGAGCGUUGUUCGGAAUUACUGGGCGUAAAAGGUGUGUAGGCGGAUUGACAAGAUAGGGGUGAAAUCCCGGGGCUCAACCUCGGAAUUGCCUUUAUAACUGUUAGUCUUGAGUAAUGGAGAGGAUAGUGGAAUACCCAGUGUAGAGGUGAAAUUCGUAGAUAUUGGGUAGAACACCAGUGGCGAAGGCGACUAUCUGGCCAUUUACUGACGCUGAUGCACGAAAGUGUGGGGAGCAAACAGG
rnacentral:rRNA from 1 species